rnacentral:rRNA from 2 species
UAGUGGCAGACGGGUGAGUAAUAUAUAGGAAUCUACCUAGUAGUACGGAAUAAUUGUUGGAAACGGCAACUAAUACCGUAUACGCCCUACGGGGGAAAAAUUUAUUGCUAUUAGAUGAGCCUAUAUUAGAUUAGCUAGUUGGUGGAGUAAUAGCCUACCAAGGCAAUGAUCUAUAGCUGAUCUGAGAGGAUGAUCAGCCACACUGGAACUGAGAUACGGUCCAGACUCCUACGGGAGGCAGCAGUGGGGAAUAUUGGACAAUGGGCGAAAGCCUGAUCCAGCCAUGUCGCAUGAGUGAAGAAGGCCUUUGGGUUGUAAAGCUCUUUUAGUGAGGAAGAUAAUGACGGUACUCACAGAAGAAGUCCUGGCUAACUCCGUGCCAGCAGCCGCGGUAAUACGGAGAGGGCUAGCGUUAUUCGGAAUUAUUGGGCGUAAAGGGCGCGUAGGCUGGUUAGUAAGUUAAAAGUGAAAUCCCGAGGCUUAACCUUGGAACUACUUUUAAAACUGCUAACCUAGAGAUUGAAAGAGGAUAGAGGAAUUCCUAGUGUAGAGGUGAAAUUCGUAAAUAUUAGGAGGAACACCAGUGGCGAAGGCGUCUAUCUGGUUCAAAUCUGACGCUGAGGCGCGAAGGCGUGGGGAGCAAACAGGAUUAGAUACCCUGGUAGUCCACGCUGUAAACGAUGAAUGUUAAAUAUGGGAAGUUUACUUUCUGUAUUACAGCUAACGCGUUAAACAUUCCGCCUGGGGACUACGGUCGCAAGAUUAAAACUCAAAGGAAUUGACGGGGACCCGCACAAGCGGUGGAGCAUGUGGUUUAAUUCGAUGCAACGCGAAAAACCUUACCACUCCUUG